UCGCUACUACCGAUUGAAUGGCUCGGUGAGGCCUUCGGACUGGCCCAGGGAGGUCGGCAACGACCACCCAGGGCCGGAAAGUUGGUCAAACCCGGUCAUUUAGAGGAAGUAAAAGUCGUAACAAGGUCUCCGUAGGUGAACCUGCGGAGGGAUCAUUACAAGAACGCCCGGGCUUCGGCCUGGUUAUUCAUAACCCUUUGUUGUCCGACUCUGUUGCCUCCGGGGCGACCCUGCCUUCGGGCGGGGGCUCCGGGUGGACACUUCAAACUCUUGCGUAACUUUGCAGUCUGAGUAAACUUAAUUAAUAAAUUAAAACUUUUAACAACGGAUCUCUUGGUUCUGGCAUCGAUGAAGAACGCAGCGAAAUGCGAUAAGUAAUGUGAAUUGCAGAAUUCAGUGAAUCAUCGAAUCUUUGAACGCACAUUGCGCCCCCUGGUAUUCCGGGGGGCAUGCCUGUUCGAGCGUCAUUUCACCACUCAAGCCUCGCUUGGUAUUGGGCAACGCGGUCCGCCGCGUGCCUCAAAUCGUCCGGCUGGGUCUUCUGUCCCCUAAGCGUUGUGGAAACUAUUCGCUAAAGGGUGUUCGGGAGGCUACGCCGUAAAACAACCCCAUUUCUAAGGUUGACCUCGGAUCAGGUAGGGAU
rnacentral:misc_RNA from 1 species